AGCUCUAAAGAGCCGGAGGUAGCUCUUCGGUCUUUUUUCAGAGCGGGCUUGCUGUGUGAAAGCAGCUCUUCACUCGAAGGUUCUUAUUCCGACCAAAGCAUCUUAGGACUUGGUCAGCUAGCAACGACUCUGGAAAGCAAUCAUUGGAAGUGAUCUACUGUGAGCUUCUUUCUGGAGAAAUCUGAAAGAUGGAAGAGAACCUAUCCACUGCUUAUUCCCAUUGUGACUCCACCCAUGGAGUCACAGCAUGGAAACCAGAUGUCAAAAGGGAGUAAGAUAUAUUUCAAACGGCACAGAAAAUUAAAGAAUUACAGAAAAUAAAAGGCAUGUGAAUUCACCUUUUCAUCAUAUUCUUCCUAGGUAGAAAUAAAUGCUUGCAGGAUUCAUAGAAAAUGUUCAGUUGGUCAGCACAGCUUGGAGAGUAGUUUCAGACAACAUGACUGGUCUAAUGUUGGAAGACCAGUACUAUAAUAAAGCUGUUGAACAGUAGCUGUGUGUUCUUAGAGGAUGCUUUCUUGCAACAAGAGCAGGGUUUCUGGGAGUCGAUACCAACU